rnacentral:lncRNA from 1 species
ACGAACGCUAUGCACGAAUCAUCCUACGAUCUGCAGGAGAAGGAAGUGUGGUACUAGCCACCAAGGAUGGAUUUCUGAUUUUUCUCUCUAGUCUCUCUCUAAAGAGUGGCUAGGGUUUGGAUUGUGAAGUAAGUUGUAUCCAAAGUGGAGGCUACAUAUCAUAUAUAUAGCGAAUUAAAAACCACUAUUCAAAACCCUAAUUUGUAAAAUCC